GAUGAACGCUAGCGAUAGGCUUAACACAUGCAAGUCGAGGGGUAACGUGUUGGAAGCUUGCUUCCGAUGACGACGACCGGCGGAUGGGUGCGUAACGCGUAUGCAACUUGCCUCACAGUGGAGAAUAACCCGGAGAAAUCCGGACUAAUACUCCAUACACUCUUAAGUACGCCUGUACAUGAGAGGAAAGAUUUAUCGCUGUGAGAUAGGCAUUCGUCCUAUUAGGUAGUUGGUGAGGUAACGGCUCACCAAGCCGACGAUAGGUAGGGGUGCUGAGAGGCAGAUCACCGACAUUGGGACUGAGCCACGACCCAAACGCGUACGAGAGGCAGCAGUGAGGAAGAUUGGUCAAUGGAGGAAACCCUGAACCGGCCAAGGAGCGUGAAGGAAGAAUGUCCUAAGGAUUGUAAACUUCUGAAGCGAGCGAGUAAGGACUUCCACGUGAUAGGAGUUUGAAGGUAGCUCGAGAAUAAAUAUCGGCAAACUCCGU
rnacentral:rRNA from 1 species